GCGGCGUCUAUCCACAGCACUGACGACCGCAGCGGCCGAUUUGACUGGGGUGGAGCGGUUUCUCUCCGCGGCAGCAACUUCCAUAGAUCUGGAGGAUCCCAAGCGGUGGCGGCAAAUCGCAGCAGAGCGGGGUCGUUGACAAGUAGCGCGUGAUAUGGGGCAGGUGCGGAGCAACGUCUAGCUGAGGCAACGGCGGCCACGAUGACUAAUUUUGGUGGUGGUGCAGCGUUUCCUCGCCUUGCCGGCGUGUGCGAUAGAUCAGGUUCAAGGGAAGAUGUGUAUGGGGUAGUGGUCGAAGACGAUGCUAAGUUCCCUCCGGAGAUGGAAUGGCUUUCGCCCCACUAGUGAUUCACUGUGCCGGUGAUACUGUAUGUGUCCACUGUAUAGAGGUAUGAGCGUUUGAAAGGGCAUGGGAUGCCCGUCAUCG